UAGUUCCUCCAACAGUUCACAAUCACCCACAUCUUCUCCAAAACCCACAGGUCAAGAAAUGCAUCUGAGAUCUGCUGGGCCACCUCCUGCUAGUCUGUGAUGUCAUCCAUCUGUUCAUCUACCUUGCCAGUGUCCAGGUCCUGGGAGGCCUUCUUUAUGCCUCGGGCAGCUAACUACAAGGAUCACACACCUGUGGAUUCAAAUGUUUCCUGUACACUAACAAUGCCCCAGCUUUGUGGACCUGGAAAAGAUCUUGGCCUAAGCAAGAUGAGGGCACAUAUUACGCUUUGCCAAGGGUAUUAUAGGGGUGGCCAGAAGCAACUUUAAAUCUAUAUGGAUGUUGAGUACUAAUUGUAGAGUGCCUGAAAUGAGAGCUUAUUCUCUUCACUGAUCCCAGAUUCACAAGAAGGUUUCAGGAAUUUGCAGCUAUUUCCAAUGCAAAUCUGGUGAAAUGUGACAAUUAUCCAAAUCCAACUGUUGUGGUAAAUGUAAGUCAGUGUCUUAAAGUGCACAUCUCUUUGUGAAAGCCAGUUCUAUAUUCUCCAAACAGAGUCUGUAUUUAUUUGAAAGUUAUUUAUUACUGUCUCAGGUUAUCAAUACCGAGGUACCACUACAAACUAAUUGCCAUGUAGGAGUAUGAUUUUUGCUUAUAACAAUGUAUUCGAUUGAAUAUCAUUCUUACUGCAAUUAUAUGAUAGAAUAAGCAUAUAAACGCACAAGUUUGUUGCAAUGAAAUAGAAUCACACUCAAGACUUUUCUUAAAUAGUCAAUUCUAAAAGUAAAUGAGGCUACGGUUAACUGAAUGUCAUGAAAUUAUUACAAGUAUUAUAAAAUGCUACGGUUGUGAUGAACCUUCUCAUUUAUUAUUAGAGAACAGUUUUGUUCUUCAGAAUAAAGCAUGAAGUCCGAAGGAAGCUGAAGCUAAGCACAUUGUGCAGGAACUACAGCUCAUUACUGACAAACUUAGCGCUAGAAACCUGUUUAAUAUCUUUUCUGCAGUACAUUCUGUCCCUACACAGUUUGUGUCUACUACAAUACACAGGUAAACUAGAUUUU
rnacentral:lncRNA from 1 species